GCGGCGAUAGUGUAGUGGCGUAAAGCAUUACCGCCCGGUCUGCAGGAGGUGCAGGUUCGAGUCCUGCUUGACGCU
rnacentral:tRNA from 1 species